GGCGAGACGCCGCGGGAAAAGCGGUCCUGUUAGGUGGUCAAGGUGGUUUGGGGCUGAGGUCGUCUCCUCAAGAGUAACCGCGGGCCUGUGCUACGGUCACGCCACCGGCCUUCGUUUCCUUUAGCCUUCUCUCUCACCAAACGAUUUUCCUGUCCAUUUAUAAAGUGCAAGUUGUUUCCCCAAGGUUCCAGCAUUUCUUCAUCGGUGGUUGUUCAGCAUUUAGUUGUGACCCUAGUAUUUCCAUCAGAAGAGGAAGUGCAUUUUGGAUCAACACCUGUGGGUGAUGAGCUGUACUGCAUCCCAACAAAGACCUCAGCCAACCCCAUAGCUGAGAUGGAGCAAUAGAGACCAGAUGUACCCUUCCCAGCUGAAACAACUAAAAAGACAAGACAAAAUGUAUUAAAGAAUGGUUCUUGAGACACUGGACACUACACGGUGAAGAACAGUGAUCCCUGAGAGAUGAGAAACAAAUAAGAUCUUGGAAUGCUCCAGUCUUUUUGCAAAGUCGAUGAGUGGCUUCAGCACUGGGGAAGAAGCCCGAAAGGUGACCAGAUGGAACCUGCAUUCACAGUCUUCAAAGUUCCCUUUUGAAACAUAAGGAAGAGAAUGAAGGGGAGAAGGAUUUCACACUUUCGGGCUUACAAUCUGAAGGUGUCCGUUCCUACACUGGUCAGACCACUGUCCUUGGGGCAGCUGGGGUCUUUGGGACCCUCCACCGGGCUCGCCGGUCCGUCGGACUUUUGGCUGAGAUCCGUGUCAGACUCCUCCGAAUAGUCGUCUGUUGGCAUCGAGGGCUGAACCCCUGAGGUGCUGCAUGAACUUGAGAGCGCGCUCUCGCACGCCAGGCAGUGGUACGAGCCGCCGCCGCCGCCGCCGCCGCCGCCGCCGCCCGUGGGGACGUGAAGCACCAUCUCUUGCAGGUUCACCACAGACUGGCCGAAGAAGCAGAGGGACUUCAGGUGGCUCCUCGCCGCCGCCUCGUCACUGAAGCCCGCCUGGCACUUGCGGCAGACCAACUUGUACUGCACCUUUGGAACAAUGAAGGGGUCGUGGAGGGAGUCCGCACUUUUGCUUUCUGCUUCUGGCUCU